GGAUUUUAAUUUUUUUUUGGGUAAGGGCAAAUUCCAUUUGUUAUUGAAAUAUUUCAAUCCAAUUAUUGAUCAAGACAUCGUUGUAUAGCCUGUUAGGGUUAUUAGAUUUUGAUUAUUACUCCCACCAUUAGCAUGAAAACUUUAAGGCAUAUUCUUGUCUUAUAGUUUGGGUGAAAGAAAGAGGGAUAUCUAAUCACAAAAU
rnacentral:lncRNA from 1 species